UACGUAGGGCGCAAGCGUUGUCCGGAAUUAUUGGGCGUAAAGAGCUCGUAGGCGGCUUGUCACGUCGGGUGUGAAAGCCCGGGGCUUAACCCCGGGUCUGCAUUCGAUACGGGCUAGCUAGAGUGUGGUAGGGGAGAUCGGAAUUCCUGGUGUAGCGGUGAAAUGCGCAGAUAUCAGGAGGAACACCAAUGGCGAAGGCAGAUCUCUGGGCCGUAACUGACGCUGAGGAGCGAAAGCGUGGGGAGCGAACAGG
rnacentral:rRNA from 1 species